CGGACGGGUGAGUAACACGUGGGUAACCUGCCUGUAAGACUGGGAUAACUCCGGGAAACCGGGGCUAAUACCGGAUGGUUGUUUGAACCGCAUGGUUCAAACAUAAAAGGUGGCUUCGGCUACCACUUACAGAUGGACCCGCGGCGCAUUAGCUAGUUGGUGAGGUAACGGCUCACCAAGGCAACGAUGCGUAGCCGACCUGAGAGGGUGAUCGGCCACACUGGGACUGAGACACGGCCCAG
rnacentral:rRNA from 1 species